AUGAUUGGUCCCAAGUCUCAGAUAAUUGUUACAACACACAAUCACAUCCAACAUGAAGAGAUGAGUCUACAUAACAAAGGAAGUAUCAGGCCGGUUUUAAAGCAACAUUAUGUAGAAACUGGCCCUUUGUGCAUGUUGGCGCCCCCCAGAGUUUCUGAGUGCAACACCACUGUGGUCAACACAAAUCACAGGUCUGUAACAAUUUAAUGAAGGUGUUAACUACCGUGUUGAGACUUUCGUCACAGCUCCGUUAUCAGACUCCUGGGUUGCAACACAACAGUGAAAGACAACAAACACAUUCGUGUUAAAGUUUUUCACAUCAGCUCACAUAUACUACAACUGCAGUACGAUGAUAUUUACUUACCUUGCUAUUAUCUCCGCCCAUUCUCAGUGUUGUACAGUCUGAUCCAGAGAUCUUUAUCUCACCUCAGAGUUGGUCUGUCUGUCCUCCUGCUGCUGUAUGAGCACAUGUUAUUAAUGAAACCAUUUCAGAAAAACUAAUAUGUUUAUUUUGGUGUUCUUGUUUAACAGGUUUGUCAACAUUUCGUGUUUAUAAUGUAAAAACAGAAACGUCAUCUUACUUCUUUGACUUCAAUAAAAACUAAAUUCUGACCUGUUCCUUUGUUUGAUUUAUAAAUUAAAUGACAUAACAGAAUAAAUGGAUGAUACAAUAAUGUUUAAGAAAUAAAAUAAUCUUAGUUACUUUUCCUGUAGCUGGAAGGUAAAAACAAACAAACAGUUAAAAAGUCAAACUGAAGUGAACUGCUUUCAUCAAAUCUCUAAACUCUUGUUAUUGUUGUAUUAUUUUUAAACGUCUUUUACAAUAAAAUGUUCUUGUUGCUCCGACUAAGAACUAAUAAUUAAAAUAUAUAAAGCAUGUGUUACAAUACCUUUAGAUGGUGAACGAACUGUGCCACUCGAAGAGACGAGUGAAACUAAAUCUGCUUUAGUGUCGCACUAAAAUGAGAAUUGCAAACCUGCAUCACACAAAGAUCAGCACAGAAAGUUAAACUAUCUGCAGCUCCUCCUUGAGACCAAAGGCCACAGUAAUAUAAGGAGUUAUCUCUGAUAAUUAGAUUAAUUAUUUACAAGAAGACCACGUGUUGUUUCUUUCUUCUUCCAUUUUCUAUCAUAUCCCUGAAAUCCCAUAAUGUGAUAUUUUCUAUCGUGUGUGCAGGUUUUUAUGAGAUAAUAACUUUUAUCAGAAGCCUUUAAUUCAUCUGUCCUUAUUGUCUGUCUUCUGAUAGUAAUGCUGAAAAGUCACAGUGUACAAAUAAAGAGGAUGUGUUAGGAACAAUGAUACUAUGACCAGAGAGUGAGGGAGUUUAUUAUCUAAAGAGGAUACAGAUUAUUAUUAUUAUUAUUAUUAUUAUCUGUGAUUAAUUUACCCUAUUUGUCUUCUACAGAGGCCCUAAAGGCCCAUAAUGUGAUAUUUUCUAUCUUUGGAGCAAAUGGUUUUAUAGAAGUUCUAUCAGUGAGUCUUGAGACAAGAGCGCACAGAAGUACAAGAGAAAACACUUUUAACGGGUUAUUAUGGUUUAAAAUAUCUUAGUUUGUGGGAGCUGUGACGCUGCUUCCAGUGACGCUCACCGGACUUCUGGCAUAUUGAAGGCCGGUUGUUGUUGUUAGUUGUAAGCCCAGUUGUUAGUCCAGUUGUUGGUCCAGUUGUUGUUGGUUCAGUUGUUGCUCCCCUGCAGCAGGUUUGACAGUAGAGCUGCAGCACUCGGCAGGUGACAGGUGAUACAGUUAGUGAUGGUGGAGUCUAGUUAACAUGGUUAGUCAGGGAUAAAGUGCAGAAUACCAGACUGAUAACUUAGUUUCUAACACUGAGACUGUCACCUUCCCUCGUCACUCUCUCACUGAAUCAUCCUCUGAAUGUGUAAAUCACAAUAAUCUGAUCUUGAUCUCCUCUGACAGUGGACACAUGUCUCAGCAAGCACCGCAAACAGUCUCACAUAAUAAUAAACCAAAGCUAAUCACUUCUGCAUCCUGUCAUCUCCACCUGUACAGGCAGCAAGACAAAUGGUACCUUGUUCCAAUUUAACUCUUACUUACUGUUAUUACUGAUCUGGUGAUUCGUUCAGAUAAGAUCCAAACUAUUGAAGAUUUCAAUAUCCACUUUAAUGAGCCUUCUGACCCUCCAAGUAAAGCUUUUUUCUGGCUUCAUUCAGCUUGUUCAUGAAACCACUCUAAAUAACAAAACACAAAUAUGAAGAAUUAUGUGGUUUUUAAUGACAAACUGAUUAUAAGUAACAAAUUGUAAAAAUACAAGAAGAGGAAGAACAAAUUCUGAGGUUAAAUCAAAGAUCUGAACUUCAGUCAGAGACGAGGUGAAUGCUGUACUGACCGAGUCUCAGUGACGAUCAUUAGUUCCAUCACUUCCUUUCAUUUUUGGCCUCAGAUCGUUUCCUGAUCGACAAACAUUUUACAAUCAUAUCCAAAAGUCAACAACAACUUAGUAUGACAGACCAGAUAUGUUGAAGUUUCCCCCAAAGUGAGACGGUUGUGUUCACGAUGUCUCCAUCAUCACCUCAGACAACAAACUCCUGAGCAGCAGGGAGACUCCUCUCAUCUUCUUCUUUUACAUCAAAUCAUCUUUACAUUGUUUGUACAGUAAUCUAGUAUCAUCAGCAUGAAGGAAGACAUUCACAAGUCAGUCUCCACAUAUUCACAGGUACAGGUGCACUUUAUGAAGAUUUAACAUUUGUAUGAUUGAUCCCUCAUUGAUAACAUAAGUUUAGUUAUCAGCAAAAUCAAAGUAAAUCACAGUUGAAUCCUGCUCCAUCAUACGGGAUCAUUUCUGACUCAGGACAUUUACUUCCCAGUACUUAUUCAGUGUAGUAUUAAUAAUAAUUUUUUGGAUACACUUUACUUGUAACAGAGUAUUUUGUGUGGUAUCAAUACUUUUACUCAAGUACCAUUUUCAUGUAAGAUUUUUCCUUCCAACGGUACUUUCACAGCGUGGUAUUAAAACUUUCACUUCAAUAGUAUUUUUAAGGCAGAACUUCAAAUGAAUCUGGUGUUUCUACAGAAUUAUUUCUCUUUUUUAAAGUCACUUUUAAAGACACUUUUCAGUUUGAAUCUUGCUUCAUCAUCUGGAAUCAUUCUCGUAGGUUUUGAUCUAAAAGAAAAAGAAGUUGAUUUCACUGUUGUGACUUCUAGUCCAGAUACAAGUGACAGAAAAAAAUAAUGCAAGUAUUACUUAUUACUGAAAAUGUAGAGUUUUCAUGAUGUUCACAGCUUCAUUUAUCUGUUGAAAUGUAGAAGUUUAACUCACAGAUACUCACCUUUACGUCUCCAUGUUGUUAUUAAAAAACCCUCUUGAGAAGACGUUUGACGUUAUGUCGCAGCCUGCAGUGAGUAACAAUCAUUAUUAGAAUGUGACUGUAAGUUAUGUUACUAAAAACCUUAUCCUAAAUUAUACAAACUUUUAACACUCAGUGAAAGUUAUGUAUUAAUAACCACUAUAAUAAUGUGAUGAUUAGUUCAAACUUACAUCUUUUUAAAAGAGAACUUUCCCUCUUUUAACUCUUCAGUGUGACCAUCUCGUCCGUCACUCUCAGUAGAGGCACAAUGCUGAUUUUCCACAGAGACUCUGGAAGGAAGAAACACACAAACAAACACACACACACACUUACAAUCAUCUCAUUUUUGUCUAUCACAAUGUGUACAUUAUUCAUAUUUUUAAAGCUUAUAUGACUUAUCUAUCAAUUUCAAUAUGCAUGACCAUCC
rnacentral:lncRNA from 1 species